UGCGAUUGCCCCUCGAGCAUCCGUGCAACUGCUAUCUCAAUCAGUUUUUAAUCAUUUUUUAAAAUUUCGAUCACGCUCGUAAAGUUCCGAGUCUGAACACAUGAUUCCGUGAAUGUGAGUUAGCCCACGAGUGUGAGUGAUCCUGCCUGAGCCCGAUUUCUGACAGUAGAAGCGUUCGGCUACUUCGGGGCAUACAUCGGAAUAUGGCUGGGAUUCUCGUUGCCAUCGGUGAUCCUUAAUCUUGAAGCGCACAUGGCCAAAAUAUUGGCCAAGCGGAUGCAGAGAGGGAAGACAGCUGACCAAGCCGUGAUGGUCUUCCGGCUGAAGCAACGCUUCUGAGGCCUUCGCACGCAGCCGACGUCGGCUGGAGGACGGCGAAACGCUAUAUCCGCUCGCAUAGAUCAAGCGGCGCGCACGCUCGCACUUGUACGCCUCAAACGCUCGGCUGUGUGAGUAGGAAGAAUGCACUUUGUGAAACAGCUGCCGCGAGUGUUUUUUUUUUUUUUUAUUUUUUGGCGAAACUGAACGAGCUUCUCUGAGCAAGCGAGCAGCGCUGUCUCACGCUUCUACGCCUGCUGAUACCACGUAAUAAACUGAUGGAUAUGCACA